rnacentral:rRNA from 1 species
GAUGAACGCUAGCGGCAGGCUUAAUACAUGCAAGUCGAGGGGCAGCACGGGUAGCAAUACCUGGUGGCGACCGGCAAACGGGCGCGGAACACGUACGCAACCUUCCCAUAACUGGUGAAUAGCCCUCCGAAAGGAGGAUUAAUACACCGUAACUUAACGAAGUGGCAUCACUUUGUUAAUAUAGGCUUCGGUCGGUUUUGGAUGGGCGUGCGCCUGAUUAGGUAGUUGGCGGGGUAACGGCCCACCAAGCCUGCGAUCAGUAACUGGUGUGAGAGCACGACCAGUCACACGGGCACUGAGACACGGGCCCGACUCCUACGGGAGGCAGCAGUAAGGAAUAUUGGUCAAUGGACGAAAGUCUGAACCAGCCAUGCCGCGUGAAGGAUUAAGGCCCCUCUGGGUUGUAAACUUCUUUUUAUCUGGGACGAAAAAAGGGUAUUCUUACUCACUUGACGGUACCAGAGGAAUAAGCACCGGCUAACUCGUG